AAGAAAAGAAGGAAAAAGAAGCCAGUAUCAGGCACUAAAUAACAGGCCCACAACACUAAGCAAUACGCCACAACUGCAGUGCUAAACAUUGGACAAUCGGAAAAAUCCAGAUCCAGCAAAGAAAGUAUGAAGGAGGUAAAAUACGUGCCAGCCACCGCGGUUAUACGUAAUUCCUAUAGUUAAACAGCACGGUGAAAAGGGUGGUUAGAAGAAGAACACAAUUGGUUGUAGCUUUGAGCUAGUGGUAAAAAACUAAUCUCACAAGAAACUCUUAUCUCCAAAUUAAACAUUUGAAGCCACGAAAACUAAGGCCUAAACCAGGAUUAGAUACCCUGUUAUACUUAGACGUGAACAACCUUAAGCACCAGAGAACUACGAACCUAAAGUUUAAAACUCAAAGGACUUGGCGGUUUUCCAAACCUCCCUGGAGGAGCUUGCCAUUGAAUCGAUAAUCCACGAAACACCUCACCAACUUUUGUAACAACAGCUUGUAUACCAUCGUCGUAAGUCUACUUCUUGAGAAAGUUGACUUUAAGGAAGA
rnacentral:rRNA from 1 species